AUGACUUUCCCAUCACAGCUCAUGGGACUACUGCUGUUCUGGGUUUCAGCCACCAGAGGUGAUAUUGUGCUGACCCAGUCUCCAGCUGUCUUGCCUGUGACUCCAGGGGAGAGAGCCACCAUCUCCUGCAGAGCCAGCCAGGGCAUUAGCACAAGCUUACACUGGUACCAGCAAAAACCAAACCAGGAUCUGAAGCUCCUCAUCAAGUAUGCUUCUGACUCCAUGUCUGGAGUCCCCUCGAGGUUCAGUGGCAGUGGAUCAGGGGCAGAUUUCACCCUCACCAUCAGCAGCCUAGAGCCUGAAGAUGCUGCAAUUUAUUACUGUCAGCAAAGUUAUAGCUACCCUCCCACAGUCAUACAGGUCAUAUAA